CCUGAGUUUCCUAAAACUACGGACAUAACUGAACGCUCUGCAUAUAUUUUGUAUAUACUUAUUUACAUGUUGCCUAUGGUCCACUAGAAUGGAAGCAACCUGACGGCAGAGAACGUGUUUUUGCCUUUCCUUGUAUGCCCAGUGAUCGCCGCGGUGUCCGCACACAGUAGGCGCUUAUUAAGUGCUUGCUUACUGGUUGCUCCGAGAGGGCUUCGGGGGCUCACCCCUGGCCAUACCCACUACUCGGCUAGCGAGGACGCCCGGCCACAUGUCCGGCAGGGCCCACAGUUUGGCUUUCCAGCAGCGCAGCGCUAAACACAAGGCCCCACCCGACCCCGGUGGGAGGGGGGACCCGAGCAGGGCCCCGUGGGCAGCGGCCAACAGCCGGUGGCCAGAACAGGUAGUGGGGGCCGCAGAUUAAAGCACGGGAAGGCGGCCAGAACGCACCGCAGUCGCAGCUCGCCCCGGGCGCCCUCGCGUCCCCGCGGGCGCCGCUGUCCGUCUCCCGAGGGAAGGGUCCGCGGACAGACGGGCCCGCGAAAGGGGGCGCCUCCUCCCCUCCCCCGCACACUCCGACACUGACCGUCGCCCGCCCACGAUCUCUAUGAAGCCCCCAAGCGCGCCCGCCGGGCCCUGACGUCAGGCUACCGCACAAGAAGCGGGCACGCAUCGCGCGCGGAGCAGAGCCCCGCCUCUCCCCAUCCCCGGUCCCACCUCCGCCCCUCCUUUUGUCUCCACGCCCCGCGGGGCCAGAGAGAGCUCGGAGCGCAUGCGCCCUGAGAGCAGAACCAGGUGAGGGGGAUGGGGCUGGGAAUGCUGCGUGGUGGCACGCUGGCCCACGUUCUUUCGCGCCGGGGCCCGAGUGCGGUCAGGGAGGAAGGAAGGUAGCGCACACCUUUGCUCCAAUGGCUGCAGCCCUUCCGCGCGCACUCCCCCAGGGUAGGAUGGACGACUACCCCGAGGACCGUUCACUGAACUGGCUGGACAGAGAAACCCAGAAGCGCCUUAGCAGACAGGGCCGGGAGGUGCUGCAGCGGGCGCAGAGGAGAGCUGUCAACCGGUCCUCACUGGGGGAAGAUCUUCGGAGGUUUCAUUCUGUACCAGAAAAGGCAGCGCUGAAUCAUGUCUACAGAUAUCACCAAAACCACUCGGACCCAAUGUCCUCUUCCUGGGUGAGACGGAAAAAAUCCACAUCCCAAGACCCUAGAGAGAGCUACCAAGUAACAAAGAUUGGCCCAGGACCAUCCAUGUUUGAUCCAGGAUCAUCCAGGUUUGACCCAGGACCAUCCAAGUUUAACACAGGACCAUCCAGGUUUAACUUGGGGUCAUCCAAGUUUGACCCAGGACCAUCCAGGUUUGACCCAGGACCAUCCAGGUUUGACCCAGGACCAUCCAAAUUUGACCCAGGACCAUCCAGGUUUUACGCAGGACCAUCCAGGUUUGACUUGGGGUCAUCCAAGUUUGACCCAGGACCAUCCAGGUUUGACCCAGGACCAUCCAGUGUUGGCCCAGGACCAUCCAGGUUUGACCCGGGACCAUCCAGGUUUGACCCGGGACCAUCCAGGUUUGACCCGGGACCAUCCAGGUUUGACCCGGGACCAUCCAGGUUUGACUCGGGAUCAUCCAGGUUUGACACAGGGUCAUCCAGUCUUGGCCCAGGACCAUCCAGGUUUGACCCAGGACCAUCCAGGUUUGACCCAGGACCAUCCAGUCUUGGCCCAGGACCAUCCAGGUUUGGCCCAGGACCAUCCAGUCUUGGCCCAGGACCAUCCAGGUUUGGCCCAGGACCAUCCAGUCUUGGCCCAGGACCAUCCAGGUUUGGCCCAGGACCAUCCAGUCUUGGCCCAGGACCAUCCAGGUUUGGCCCAGGACCAUCCAGGUUUGACUCGGGGUCAUCCCAGUUUGACCUAGGACCAUCCAGUCUUGGCCCGGGACCAUCCAAGUUUGACCCAGGACCAUCCAAGUUUGACACAGGGUCAUGGAGUCUUGGCCCAAGAUCAUCCGAGUCUAUGGCCAGAACAAGUUCAAAGGACAUCACGAUAGAAGUUUGUCCAGGCACCUAUACUGUCACAGUAGGGUCCCCUAAUGUAACCACAACGCACAUGAUAGAGGUUGACUCAGGAGAAAUCAUCGAUCUGAGUUUCCCUCUUUAA
ensembl:lncRNA